CUUCACUGGAGUCAUUUGGAUACUUUCAGCCCUGGAAUUGCCAACCUCUAUUGAACUAAAGAUAAAAGAUAGCUGUUAACUUGAAAACUACCACUUCAUGACAUCACAAGGUGGAACAGAGCAUUUUGAGCUUUGGAGAUGUAGACAGACUAAUAAUAAAGUGUUAUUCAAACAUGUGUGAAUGAAACAAAACACAACUCUGGGUAUGUUUUUG